UUCUAUUACAUGACAAAUAUCAAAAAAUAAAAAAUCAACAAAAAAUUCAAAUUUACAUCAAUUUUCCAAGUUCUAUUUUUCUAACAAAGAGAAUAUCCAGCUCCAACACUUAAUUCGAACCCUUUGCAUGUUGUGCAUACUCCCUAACCAUAGCCUUCUGAAAGGUAACUGAUGCAAAUUCGAAGCUUUGUCCUUUUCGAGAAUCUAACUAAUGCAAAUUCAGAGCUGCUUCCUUUUCACGUUCCCAAUUGACAAAAUGGGGUAUUUGACUACUUGGAAGUAUUUCAAUUCGAUUGGCUUUCAUACUAGGAAGAGUUACAGCCCAUUUGACAGUGCUUCUACUUUUGUUUCUUGUAAGUGAGUUUCUCGAGAAAAUUACAUAAGAUCUACUUUUUCUAAAGCUCUUAUAACCAAAUAAGACUUUCAAAAAAUUACCCAAUCAACUUCGAAAGUAGCUUUUAAAUUUCAGAAACAAAUAAGCCUUUAAUCCAUUAAUCUAAACAUUAUCCUAUACCUUUUAACCUUCCAAAGUCAGGACCAACUUUCUAAUCAUUAAUCUACUUACAAGACGAUUUUACUGGACCACUUUUAUACAUAUGCAAAUAGAAGACUACAGCCUUGCUCGAUCCCAUCACAAAAUAAUUAAGAUCUCAAAAAGUGUCUUCAAGUAGCUAUGCAAAUACUAUCACCACCUUUUUCUAAAAGAUAAUUUCAGUAAGGUGAUUAACUUAAAGUUCAAACGAUACUUUCUUUUUCUUUUAUGUCAGCAUCAACAGUACUAGGUAAACAUUAACAACACCUUCAUGUAAGAUUACAUUUGGAAACAGUCCUCCAUGGCUACUCGACGGGAAAAUAUAACUCCAAUAUGUGGACACUCACCGGGCAACAAUAGAAAAGUAUUUCAAACAGUUGCAAAACCUGAAAAAUAAAUAAAAAUUACAUAUAUCGUGUCUAAUUU
rnacentral:lncRNA from 1 species